CGUAAUUUAUACUUCCUCCAUUGAGAAAACGAAAUCGAAAGUGGAAAUGUUGUAUUGUUUUCCCACAUCAUGAUUCUACUGUGCGCUAUACCGAGUUAACCAGCAGCUAACACAUUCGUGUUUGAAACACUGGUACAAAUGUGCGUGAGAACUCCGGACUGUGAUAAGGAGUGAAAUUCACGGAUAAAAGACACACUCUGACAUUCUCUCAUGUUGCAGUGAUGGACCUGCUCCUUAGCAAAUGCGUUAUCCUGAAGAACCUCUCAGUAACCGCUAGUGAAGAAGAUGUUAGAAAGAGCCUUAAACUUCAAAAUUUAAGUGACGCGUUCCAUGACAUAGAGCGGUAUGCAGUGAAUGACACAGAUGUUAGAUGGAUAAUUUUAUUUAAUACUGCUGAAGAUGCGAUGAAGUGUUAGUACACCAAGGAAUGGGCUUACCAGAAUGAAGAAAUCCGUGCCUUAAUCAAACCCGAGAUAUGUAUAGAGAACCUGAUUCCAGUCAGAUGGUUGGAGCAGAUGCAAGAAUCAGUGACAGGCGAAAAUGUCAAUGCAGAGUUGGAAUGUGUCCCAACACAAUCAUUUGCUCUGAGCAUUCUUAUGACGUCUGAUUAAGAUAAAUAUUCCGACGUCGACAUUGUCGAAUCGGGUUCAGAAUCAGUGAUCAGUAAAAAAGUUACCGUUACUGGUUUUCAAGAAGGUACGGCAAACGAAGAAAUGAAAACGUUUUUCGAGGGUAUAUCCAGCUCGGGUGGUAGCAAUAUUGUUGCGUUUGAUCUCAACCAAUACCAAAAUGUGGUCACUAUUGAAUUCGAACAUCACAAUGAUGCAAACGAGGUCCUGCAGAAAGCAAAUACAGAGGGUGGCAUCCUCUACAAUCGUACGAUGUUGAAAGCAUCACCAUUUAUUGAGUCCGUAAUAGAUACGUCUAAGGUGUUUGUGAGCGGCAUGUCUGAACAAACUAGCGAUGAAUUAGCCACUCUCUUUAUGGAAGCAAAAUGGCAUAUUGAGCCGAAGAAAAUAGUCCGAGGAAUACUGCCUGGAACAGCACUUGUUGAAUUCAGCUCACAUCCAGACAUCACUAAAUUGAAGUCUAUAUGUAAGAAUAAUGCAUGUGCUGAUGCGUUAUGGAACGUAAGCCUGGUCGAGAUGUCGUCAAAGGUGUUGGUAACAGGCUGCUUUUCUACGACAACAGUAGAGCUUCUGGACCUUUAUUUUGAGAAUAAAAAACGGAGCGGCGGCGGCGAUGUACUAUACAUUGAACCUCACUAUGAUUGUUCAAACGAAUUCGUGAUUACCUUCCAAAGUAAAUUCGAUGCGGAAAGCGUGGUCAAGGAAGACAGGGCCCAUGUACUUGACAACUGUAAACUUACCGUUUCUUUGUACUACCCUUGUUUGGACCGCGACCUUUCAGAGCAAAUUACCAUCCCAGAACCGGUGCUAAUCGACGAUCUUGACCAAUAUCGAGCAAAGUUUUUGUUUGGAUCAGACCAACAUAAAGCGAAGAUUGAGGCUUCAUUGAAAGAUGUGUUUGGACGACCAGUUUGGAUUGUAGAUAACAACAGCAGUGCUAUAUUAAAAAUCGAGUGCAUUGUCGAUCCGAAGUAUUUUGUAUCACGGCGCUUUAUUAUCGAUUAGAAAGAAAGAGUUCGUAAAUGCCUUUCUUGGAUAAACUACGAAAUAAAAGUAGACGAUUCAAAUGUGGUUGCAUCUGAGUUGUUUGAUGAGAUGAAGAUCCAGCUACUGAGCAUAAAGGUUCGACGCCCAGAGGCUUUGGCUAUUGUCCUUGACAGAAAAUCAUCGGUAAUCGUAAUUGUAGGAGAAGUCAAAGAAGUGGAUCAGCUCUCAAGGGACAUUGCAAAACGUAUAUCAGAACUGCAAAAUGAUUUGAAAAAAAGCAACAAAACAGCAACAAAAACAGGUAGAUUCCAAGAUGUAGCAAAUGCAGUGAGUAUUGUGCAAGAUACAUUGACCAACUUUGUAAGAACUGACGUGUCAGUUCCGAAGAGCAAGGACAUGCAGUCUUCUACAUCGGAGCUUUGGUCGACUCCCUUUGGAUACCCAAUGCUGCCAAUGGGAUACCCUUUUGCUUAUCCCAAUGUUCCAGUUGCGGGAAUCGGUUUGCUACCAGUUUCAACGGCUGCUUCUCCACAAUCGCCUUCAGCCUGUCCAAUAUUUGUGCAGCCUUAUUAUCCUGGUCAUCCAGGGCUUCACCAAGGUUAUCCAGUUUUCUAUAUGCCGUAUCCAUCAUUUCCGAACUUGCCUCCGCAUUUUCCUCCUGGACAAACUCCAUUGCGUGCGCCUGUUGCUUCACCAGAGUUUUACAACAUGAACAACGAUUCACUGAAUUCACAAUCCCAACGUUCCUCUUCCUCCAAGUUGGCAAAUGACGAUCGGUGACAAAACACAGAUUGUUACGCUAAACCCUUUAGGCCAAGAGUAUAAGACACUGGCGCAGAGAUUUUGUUCAGAAACUUUCGUUCCGAUGCAAAACAUAGUUACGAUUGAACGAAUCCAAAACUCUACAUUAUAUAUGCAAUACUAUGGAAAGAAGAAGGAAAUGGAGACUGCCAACAUAGGAUCGCGCAAUCCUAUCGAGAGACGAUUGUGGCUUGGCACACGAUCCGGCGAUGUUACUCAGAAUAUUAACCAGAAAGGAGCAACACUAGGUGCCGGAGUUAUGUUUGCAGUCGAUGCAAGAACAGCAUUAGGCUAUUGUCAAACAGAUGCUACUGGCACCAAGCGCAUGUACUACGCGGACGUUCUGACAGGGGAUUUCUGUGCUGGAAUAAGCGCUGGAAUAAGCUAUAUUACAAAGCCACCGUCUCGACAUGAUCCUCAGAAUCCUAAGCGAUGCUUUGAUUCGACAACUGAUAAUGUGUCUGCACCGGGCCUCUUUGUUAUUUUCCACGAUGCCCACGCUUACCCUUCGUUUUUGAUAACGUUUCGUUAACGUUUUGAGUUCACUUGGAAUCCGGUAUAAACUUUCUCACGUAUUAAGAAAAAGUAUAAGGUAUUGUUCUCGUGAUCUUCAUACUUUUCAUAGUGCGUUUAUGUUAAUUAUGAAAAUUGUUUUGCGUGUCAGUGGAUCACGAUGGUCCUGUUUUUAAUAUUAUGCUUUUUAUUGUUUUGGUCAAGUUUAUAUGUGUGGCUGCCACAAUCCUGAUAAAUGCCUGUGAUUACAUGUGUAAACUAUACAAGUCAGUUUGUUACGCACGAUUACCAACUCAACUCCUUUGUUCGUUGAUAGUAGACUUUAAACGUUCACAUUAAGUAUAUUUUAAACGUUCAAAUUAAGUAUUUUGUACUGUUAAAUAUAUAACUUUAUUAUCUUAAUCAAAAAUUACAUUGUAUUCCGAUUUUUAUGCUUUUUUACUGUUUGUGUGACCUUGUGUAAAUUUAUGUUUAACAGUGCACAUGUUGUUGUUGUAUUUUCUUUUUUCUGUUCUAUAUUCUGUAUUUGAUGGGCUCGUCAUUGCAAAUACUUUGCAGAUUUUUAAUUUUUUAGAACAUUUACACACAUGUGUUAAUAUUUGCUAAGUUAUCAUGUUUAUGAUAUUUGAAAUAUUGUAAAUUCUGCACCAAGAAGUAAAUGUUUGAUGUCUUAAUACUGCAUUUUGAAUUACAAAUGUAAAUAAACAUUCAUUUAAGUUAAUUUUAUUGUUUGAAUGGAACACGUUUUCUGGGGUGUUCUUUAAUAUUGUUUCUAAGAACAUCAUGUUAUGUCCUCUUUAUUUAGUUUUAGCUUAUCAUAGAACAAUAUGCUAAUUACGAACAUGUGUGAUUAUCUGUGAUAACCUAUUGUUCGUUGUGCUGUGUGAGUCGUCCUUCGUCAACAUAAACAUUGUGAAUAUUUUAGCGGUAUUCACGAGUUGUGUUCCUUUAAAAUAAGCCAUCGGCAUCGCAAAGUCAAAAACAAUUAAAAUCAUGUUGAGCGAACUUACUUGAGCUUUCUCAAGCAAUGGAUUUAAUCUUAAAAUAUAUAAUUACCAUACAGUGCCUAAGACAUAAUACCGAGUUCAAAAAUGGUCUCGAAUAAUUAAUAAACUUGCUUACUGAUGGCAUAGGGGUUGGGACUGUAUCCUUUAUGUGGCUAUAGCAAAAACGUUUUUACUGAACAUUUAAGUCCGUCAGCAUGAACCGUGGCCAUAAACGUUUGUUAUUAGGUUUAAUGGAAUGACUCAAUACUUGAAAACAAAACAUGAAUGCAAGGGCCCCGUCAGGUUGUCUAAAGUAAAGUCUUGUGAACACUACCUGCUUAGAACAGUUUUGGUCCUUUCUGACUCAGGUGAGCUUAUAAGAACAUUUUGCCUUCUUGUAUUGUAUGAUCUUUCCAAUAAAUAAUCAGGAUAUUUUACAUAUUAAAAAUACAUACAAUUUAA